ensembl:lincRNA
ACACAGUGACCAAAGCUACAGGGGCCUCCAGAGGAAACGGUGAGAACCACAGGAGAAAGGGGGUCUUUGCUGCUGACGGCGAGCACCCAAGCCCAAGCUCCCAGUGGUGAUCUCUCACAAGACCACACAGCCGAUUUCCCUGGAGACAGCACAACCUGUUAAGGGCAUCUUCCAUGCCAUUAAGGGAGUCCCUAUGAAAAUCAUGGAGUCUUGGGACAUCUGAGGCGAGAGGAAAGACGGCAAAAGCAGAGGCAAAGACAGAAAUAAAUCUUCUCUUCUUUUCUUGGGCUUACUGAAUUAUUUUCAUCCAUGCCCUUUUAAAAUAUGGUUGGUAGAAAUUUGCCGUUUGAGACUAGAAUCCCAUUCGGAAUCAUGUAAGUCUCUUUUGACUCCACGAGGACAUCUUUCACCCAGUUUUGGGAAAUCUGAGGAAUGGAUUCUUCUACAGACUCUGAUAAAAUAUCACAAGGCCCAAGAGUUGGUGUGAGAAAGAGGACAUCAAGUGAUGGAUGUGAACGUGGUAGACAUACAAAGGAAGGCAAGAAGGUAUCUCAACACAGCAGAACAAGACCCCAUGAGGAGCCCAGAAAAAAAAUAAAGAAGUUUCCUCACUGGUUAGGAAUUCAAAAGCAGUCCUGGCAACCUCAUAGCAUCUUUACCUCAGAAGCAGGCAGCUCUGGUUACUCCACCAUUUUCAGGAACAAGGUUUUUCUCUCCCCCUCUGCUGCAUUUCCUCUGCUGCUCCUGAUCCGUCUGCCUCUACCUUCUUCCUACCAUCAAAUUUCCUCCCAGGAGACAACAUGAAUGGGUUAAGAAGUACCUAACGAGGGCUGCUCCAACUGGACAGCAUCUUUGAAACUGGGACCUCACAGGUGGUCAUCACAGGCCCCUGAUGCCUGGGUACCCAGCGACCAUCCCCAGUCUAGUCUGUCUAUAGCAACAUAGGUGAAGGGGAGUCUCAGGGGCUGCCUAAGGGGCUCAGAAUGUGGUGAGUACUUAAGACUGCAUGGAUUUUCACUGUUUACAUGAAUAUAGGACAAGUAUUCACAGAACUAUUAGCUAGAUCUGUGAACAAAACAUUAAUAACAUUGUAUGUCCAUGUCUGAACCCCUGAAAUUCCAACAACCACCACCCGCCUACCAACUUGCAGCAAACCGGCUCUCUCCACAGUCUUCCCCAGAUCAGGGAGAAACAAUUCCAUCCUUCCAGUACUCAGACUGUAAAACUGGAUUCAUUCUGAUUCCUCUCUCACACAUCCCACACCUGAUCUGACAGGAAAUCCUAUAAACUCUGCCAUUAAAAUAUAUCCAGAAACAGGCCAGGCACAGUGGCUCAUGCCUCUAAUCCCAGCACUUUGGGAGGUCGAGGCGGGCAGAUCAUGAGGUCAGGAGUUCGAGACCAGCUUGGCCUACAUGGCAAAACCUGUCUCUACUAAAAAUAGAAAAAUUAGCCAGGUGUGGUGGUGCACACCUGUAAUCCCAGCUACUUGGGAGGCUUAGCUAGGAGAAUCACUUGAAUCCGGGAGGCACAGGCUGCAGUAAGCCAAGAUCGUGCCACUGCACUCCAGCCUGGGCGACAGAGNNNNNNNNNNNNNNNNNNNNCCA